rnacentral:miRNA from 1 species
GAUUACAUGACAAAAUUUUCAACCCAGGGCUGAGUUCAAACCCGGGGUUGAACUCAGCCCUGGGUCGAAAAUUUUGUCAUGUAAU